rnacentral:tmRNA from 1 species
GACCUUGCAGCAGCGAGUGCGAGGCUCUAUAUCCAUCUUGUUCGGCUUCGGUCGGGCUAUGGACAUAAACGCGCUCGUAAUAAGCGGAUCGGACCCGGGGGCGGUACCCGGCGGCUCCACCAUAUAACCCUUCAUUGGGGGUAUUUGGGGCCGAAACAGGAUCGACGAACGUCUAAAGGGGUUUGCUUUGUCCCGGUGAGCGACCACCGUUAUCGGUGCAUAAUGUACAGUUGCCAAUGACAACCGUGCUCCGGUGGCCGUUGCUGCGUAAGCAGUAACCAAACCGAAACCUUAAGCCCUGACGCCUAGCAGCUUCAGGCGGGGCCCGCAGGAGCCUGGCAACAGAAUCCUGCACU